CAACAGAGAGCACUUGCUACAAUCACGCCACCACGCUGCUAAGAGUUUAUCGAAAAUUCACAGUGUAUAAAAGGACAACAGGUGCUUCGUUCUGGCAUAACACGAUUUUUGUGCAAAUCUUAUCUUCGAUUUCAUUCUAAUCCUCAAAAACCAAACCAAAAACCAAAAAUGGGCGCUGAAAAAGUAACCAUGAACAUCGUUGUCGUCGGACAAGUCCAAUCUGCCAAGGCCAUCAAAUCGGUCGCCAAAGCCGCCCCAGCCACCAGCCAAUUGAUGAACUGUUAAUUCACAAAGCACACACCAAUCUCAAGCUCAAAAAUGCCAUAGCCCAAACAUUACACGAUUUUAUAAUUUUGUACUUAAUUAUAAUAAUGUGUGUUGACAUUGCAAAAUAAAUCACUUCCGUCCUAAAAA